AUUAAUUUUCGUCGAGUACUUUUCUGCCAGAAUCGCUAAUUAGGAAAUCCAGAAAAAGGAUACUCUCUGUCAUACUCUGCCGAUAGGCCGACCGCGCUAGCAAGUUUCUUCUUCAUCCCAAUAGUUUCGUUUACAUGAAAAGUUACCCCAUAGCCCUGUAAAUAUCGAGAACAUUGACUCCUAGACAACCGAUCUACAUCUUGAACUGAAGUAAUUGGAGGCAAAUCAGGGUCCGGAUUAUUACCAUUAAUAAAGGGAACAGGCGAAAUCACGUAUGCACCCUUCCUAAGAUCUCUAUUUUCCGCACGAACUGAACGCAUAUCGAGAGUAUUGACCUUAUUUGUGAAAUUAAUCAUAUUUUCUUGCAUGGUGUUCAUGGUCCCUUGCAUAGUGUUCAUGGUCCCUUGCAUAGUAUUUAUGGUUCUUUGUAAAUCUGCCAUACCGCUCAUUAAAAAGUUGAGAGUCCUAUUCUGCUCCUCGCGGUCUCUUUGGUACCAAAGUGGCGGUUGAACUUGGCUUUCUCUCUCAAUUUCCAACGCGGUCCACUCAUCCACUCGACGUUGAAACCUUUUUACGCGCUCAUUUGUACGAAUCUCCUCUUCAUUCAGGUGAGUUUUGUUCUCAAGGGCCCUUCCCUCACUCUCUAAUAUUCUAUUUCUCGCUUCUAUUCUUCUUUUCUCGAAUUCAACUCGAAAGUCGUUUAAAAAUCUAUUUCCCUCCUUUGAAGAGGAUUCAGUUGGUGGA